CUGCAUUAAUUUAUUAGAUGUACGACAGUGUGCGCCAGAGUUUUUAAUACGGCCGGCAUACGCAGGCUAAAUCAUUAAGUUGUAAUAAGG